CGCAAGCCUGACGGAGCAACGCCGCGUGGGGGAGGAAGGCCCUUGGGUUGUAAACCCCUUUUCUCAGGGAAGAAACCUGACGGUACCUGAGGAAUCAGCCUCGGCUAACUCCGUGCCAGCAGCCGCGGUAAUACGGAGGAGGCAAGCGUUAUCCGGAAUUACUGGGCGUAAAGCGUUCGUAGGGGGCUCGUCAAGUCUGCUGUCAAAGCUCGGAGCUCAACUCCGAAGGGGCAGUGGAAACUGGGGAGCUAGAGGGCGGCAGGGGCAGAAGGAAUUCCCGGUGUAGCGGUGAAAUGCGUAGAGAUUGGGAAGAACACCGGUGGCGAAAGCGCUCUACUGGGUCGCACCUGACCCUCAGGGACGAAAGCUAAGGUAGCG
rnacentral:rRNA from 1 species